UACGGAGGGUGCAAACGUUGCUCGGAAUCAUUGGGCGUAAAGCGCACGUAGGCGGUCCAGUAAGUCGGGUGUGAAAGCCCUCGGCUUAACCGAGGAAGUGCAUUCGAAACUACUGGGCUUGAGUACUGAAGAGGAUCGCGGAAUUCCCGGUGUAGAGGUGAAAUUCGUAGAUAUCGGGAGGAACACCAGUGGCGAAGGCGGCGAUCUGGGCAGAUACUGACGCUGAGGUGCGAAAGCGUGGGGAGCAAACAGG
rnacentral:rRNA from 1 species